rnacentral:rRNA from 1 species
UGCAAGUCGAACGAAGGUCCUGCUUUUGCGGGGUGCCUUAGUGGCGGACGGGUGAGUAACGCGUGGGAAUCUGCCCUGGAGUGCGGGACAACCAUUGGAAACGAUGGCUAAUACCGCAUAAUCCCUUUGGGGGAAAGGCUUUGGCCGCUCCUGGAUGGUCCCGCGUUAGAUUAGCUUGUUGGUGGGGUAACGGCUUACCAAGGCGACGAUCUAUAGCUGGUUUGAGAGGAUGAUCAGCCACACUGGGACUGAGACACGGCCCAGACUCCUACGGGAGGCAGCAGUGGGGAAUAUUGGACAAUGGGGGCAACCCUGAUCCAGCAAUGCCGCGUGAGUGAAGAAGGCCCUAGGGUUGUAAAGCUCUUUCAACUGUGAAGAUGAUGACGGUAGCAGUAGAAGAAGCCCCGGCUAACUCCGUGCCAGCAGCCGCGGUAAUACGGAGGGGGCUAGCGUUAUUCGGAAUUACUGGGCGUAAAGCGCGCGUAGGCGGCGUGUCAAGUUAGAGGUGAAAGGCCCGGGCU